UAUAGAAAAAGAAAUCAUAUUAUUACAUAUUGAUAUAUUGUACUUAACAACAUUAAUUUGAAAUAAAGGAUGUAUUGAAGAAUAUGUACAAGGUUUAAUAUUCCAACUGUAAUAUUCCAUUGUUCACGCUAAUUGGAAAAAGGAUUAAAACAUUUAGAAACAAAGAAGACUUAUGGAGAAAAGAUAGAAAAGGAUUUUCAACUACUUAAUGUUAAUGAAUUAAUGUUUUAUUUCACCAUAGAUGUCCGAGUAAGAGCAAACUGAAGGAUGAAUCGCUUAUUUCAUGAAGCAAAUACAGUCAGGGAAACUACGUAUAAGUUUUGACAGGAAGUAGAAUGCAAGAUCGAAUAAUGUUGUCCAGUAAUAAAUACGCGAAAGUUUAUUUGAGUUUAAUAGAACAUUUUAUGUUGCUGACAAUGGCAUGGCAUGGUACGUACAUUCAUACGUACUCUUGGCUACUCUUCCUAAAGUAGCAUGUAUCUCUGUACAAAAAGAAAAAGAGCAUAUAACAGUGGCUUUUCAAUAAUUGAAUAUGACAAUCAAAAUCAAAAUGGGGGUAUAUUCGCCAUUAUUUGAAGAUUUUGAUAGAUACAUUGAACAAAUUAUCAAAAAAAG